rnacentral:rRNA from 1 species
UACAUGGGGUGCAAACGUUGCUCGGAAUUAUUGGGCGUAAAGCGCGCGUAGGCGGUUACUUAAGUCGGAUGUGAAAGCCCUCGGCUUAACUGAGGAAGUGCGCCCGAAACUGCAGAGCUUGAGUACCGGAGAGGAUGGCGGAAUUCCCCAAGUAGAGGUGAAAUUCGUAGAUAUGGGGAGGAACACCAGUGGCGAAGGCAGCUCGCUGGGACGUUACUGACGCUGAGACGCGAAAGCGUGGGGAGCAAACAGG